UCUGGAUGGAGAUGAUUACAGCAAAACAGGGAACCCAAAAGCUCUUGUU
rnacentral:sRNA from 1 species